rnacentral:lncRNA from 1 species
AAUUACUUUUGAUCUGGGGUCAUUCUCAGCUAACUCUGCAACUUUUCUCAUGUCACAGUUCGUAAAUAACUACUGCGGCAAAUUAGAUGAUAUCAUCUGGAAAUUUCCAACUGAGAAGGGAAAAUCAAGGAUACCCCGGUUAUCAAAGUCUCAUUCAUAAUCUAGUGCUGUGUGUUAUCAAUUACUAUGGACUUAAGUGGAUAUAUUUGCAGAGUGUAUCGCAAUUGGAUUAUGAUAUUCUAAGUGUAGCUCUUCGAGUAGUAUAUGUUUGUAUAUUCAGAGUCCCCAUGUACAAAGAGGCCGUUUUAAUUGAGGUUUCCGUACCUCGAUUCCCUGUGCAAAGUUUUCAUCGAUGUUUUAGACUGCACAUCUGUAUAUUUUGUCGAGAGCAUCAGUUUCUUAGACACCACCUAUGUAUCAUGUGUUUGUUGCCAACUAGUGUCAUUUUUGUAAGAUCUAACUUGUGAUAUACUUGGAUUGAGUGGUAUGGUUGAAAAGAGUGUGAAAGUCCAUU